rnacentral:lncRNA from 1 species
UCAGAUCUUCGAGCAGCUCGGAGAGUACCGAGUACCAGCUCCCACUACAUCUCCAACACUAUCUUCUUCUUUGACGAGCCCUCUAUCUCCCCCAACUGAAUCUCCUGCAUCGAGUAUUCAGGCUCUUUCUCCAUCUCCAUCAACCCCUGAUCAGGUAGGCUCUGUCACACUCAACUACACUUACAUUGCGUAUAUUAAUGAUUAUUUUGCGCUAAUUGUACAAUGUACACACUUGAUCUAUUACAAUUUACAUUUUUCUGGCAUUCUCAUAUAUCACAGAACUAAUGUUCCUAGGUUUAGUCAUGUUCUACUAGAGAUGAUAUUGUUCUUUUUUAGAUGCAGACAUAUAGGGGCACGUGUUGUUCAAGGUUCACGUUCAUGUUUAAAAUUUAUAUUUCAUUAAUCUUUCUAAUCAUUCCUAGAUGAUAACCAUUGUAAUCAUAUGGCCACCUCGUGAAUUGAGGAUUGAUGCAGCCGAUCUUUCUUUUGUUGUAAUGUAAAAUAUUUCAUUUGAGCAGGAUUUUUAAAACGUGUUGAUCUAAAAAUAGACUAAAUAUUAUAUUCUAAAUACAUUUUGCAAUGGUCUAGGGGUCUCAUAUAACCUUAAAAUUGAUUUUCGAUCAAUCGCUUGCUUUUAUUACUUUUGAUGUGCUGGUGAAUAUUUCUGUCACGUCUUUCCUUAUACGCACACUUUUUGUUUGCAAUUCUAAUAGAAUGGAUUGAAUUGGUGAUACAAUAUAUUUCAUGAUGUGAAGAUGUUGUCUUAUAAUCUCAACGAAGCCCUGCCUAUUUAAACUUUGGCCCAAAUGUUUAGCACAACAUUCUUUGCAGCUAAGGUUUUUUAUUGCAGGGGGAUUAUGAAUGUAAAUAUGAUUGUUGAUGACUUGAUAAAUUUUAGUCUUCCUACUUUUUCUAUUUACAAAUUUCAAGUCUGAAAGGGGAAAAAAAGCAUUUAUACCGUUAGCAUGAUUGAUGAUCAAAACUUCUUCCUAUAGGUCAUGAUAAAUUGACUUCUUUUUUAUACCGUCUCCAUUUCACUUCCUUGGAAGUGUACAUAGGAAACAUUUCAAAUUUUGGUCAACAUGAAGUUUCCCUAUUACUAGAGGUAUCAUCUCAUUUCCAACAUUUUUCCGUAGUUUAUAAGCUUCAAGCUCAAUCAUUUUAAUAUUAAUGUGUUCUAUAUUGCCCUAAAUUAGUGAUUUGAGUAGUGAAUAGUACAAGAUGAAAUAUUCCCACAAAAAACUUCUCUUUUAUUGAUGGUUUUCCAGUGUCUUAGGACUUAUUUAAAUAUCAAGUUUGUAGCUAAGCCACGGGACUUUUAUAUCUUGACUUGAUGCCUACAUUUUGUUGUUUCUUCCCCCAUAUUGAACAAAAUGUGCAUGAAUUUUUUUAUCAUCAUUACAAGAGAUUUCUAGUUCAUAAUCUUGAACUACAGCAUUUGGAUACUCACUUUAUUGUUUAACCAAAUGCAUUUUUGCAUAUUUGUGAAUGUUGUCAUCUACUUCAACUGUGCUUCAAAAGUUAGGCGAGUAAUGAAAUUACAUCCAUACUUAUAUUAAAAGGAUAAAUUGUUGAUCUAAGUGAAAAAGGGGAUCAAUAGUUGGUACUUGCUGACUACUAUAAACAGCAGAUCGUGCAAUUCGUCUUUCAGGUUUUAUAAGAAAUUGAGAUGUAAUUCUUUUUUGUUUUCCUAUGCUUCUUGUUGUAGAUUAGGCCUUUUCCUUCGACGUUGUCAUCGUAGUGAUUGGGUAGUCAAAUUUUCCUUGUGUAAAUAUGGAGCAAGUUCAACCAAAUGGAGAAAAAUGACUCAAGUAGUAAGCUAAAUAAACAUUUGAAUUUUUUAAUGUAUAGCAUGCUUUCACUUGACACUUGUCCAUCUCCAUUUUAACUUCUACAUCUACUUGGAACCGAGUUUUCCUAGCUCCCUUUUUCUUUCUUUUAGGUAUAACGUUCAUUUUCUUUGUGUUCAUAAUAGUUUCGAGAGCCUUGAAGGAGAUGAACUACACUAAUCUAAAUGGAAAACCCAUCCAAAUAUCAUAUUCUAAUCAAAACUAGAGCUCGGGCCGAAGUAGUGCAGGGAAUAAACUUGUAAGGUACUAUUUUCCCUUAGUUUAUCGUUUGGCAUGAUAGUUUUCCUUCAUUUUGAAGAAAUUAAAAAAAAAAAAGGGUUUGAUCUUGUAGAAUUUGGACAAAGCAAUUGAUGAAAGGUACUGAUGUGUACAAAAAUUAUAGCCCGACCCCGAACUAUCAAGCAUGGCCCGAGGUCAAUACCUCGACCACUCUCGUCUUCAAAUAUCCUCUAAAAAGUGGUCGGGCCUCUUCGAAGUCGGACCUAAUAAUCUGGCCCUACUAAGGUCAGGCCCACAUGCCAAAAUAUUAUCCUCGUCUCGAGCUUUUUACGUGUUUUAGUCCUCUUAUAACUCAAUUACUCUAUCUGAUGAGGAUAAGGACUCUAAAUGGUUGAAUCCUUCUACAGCUCAACCACCAACGUCUAUAAAUACAAGACCUAGCGCCAUUAUUCAGGUAUGUUUUUACAAUACAUACUUUUACAUAAUUUCCCCAUCUGCCUUUGUUUCAGGUACUGAAAGGUUCCGUUCGUGCUCGAUCUCAGUCCUCAUCUCGAGAAAUCAACAGGUACAAUUUUUUGCAUCAUCAGUGGCGCUGUCUGUGGGAAGCGAUACAUUAACCAUGUUUUUACCACAUUCAAAAAGUCACCGGAAGGACAAUAAUUUCAGACAGUUCCUCAACCAAGAAGCUCGAAGAGAUGUUUCUGCCUUCCGAAUGAUUUCAAAGUCCAACGUAGACAAAAAAGAUGUAUAGAUCAAAUUAAAAUAGGGCCGAAUUCAAAAACCCAGUUCUCAGAUCCGAUCUUCUCGCUUCUGAUCUCCUUUUGAACAAACUCCAUAAUGAAGAAAGAUCACUCCAAUAAGCAUCAAUGGAACUCAUAAUUCAUCGGGAUACUUCCAACAUCAGUUUACUGUUUAUCUACACGAUUGCCGACGGUAGUGUCAUUCCGAUCAGCAUGUGCAAAUCAUUCAUCCCUGCCUCCAAAGUUCUUGUGCAAACCCGAUCAUCUUCGUUGCAUAAUAAAGCCAUCGUCAAAACGAGGUGUUUUCUUCAUUUGUAACAUUCGGUUCAAUUUCCGUCCUCUCUUUUCUCUCUUCAUUAUCGCUCCUAACACGAAAGAUAAUACGGGUUUCAUUUCACAAUUGGAGUUUAUUGUGAAAAUCCUCGAUUCCCAUCUCUCUGUUGGCUUUUGGAGAAGAAUUUUCGUUGUUUUUCAUGCAAAACAAAAAGGACCCAAGUGGAAUAACCAUUGGAGAACCGUGUAUCAUCUUCUGCAACUCCAAUUUGUCGAUCUGGGAAUAUAUGCCAAAAUUCAACAUGUUUUGAAUAGUGAAUUGGGCCAAAAUUUUACAUAAAUUGAGCCCAAGAAUUCAAGUAAAAAUGCCUAUUCAAUGUUGGGCUGCACUAAUUUUUUUGGGCCUACUAACUUUUCAACCUACCUAAAGAUUUUGGGCCUAUUGUCUGCCUCAAUAUUGGUUUUGCCUUCCCUAAGGGUGUCAACGAGUCGAGUCCGGCUCUCGAGCCCAAACUUCCGACUCGGGCUUUAUCAAGACGGGUUUUUUUUUGCCCGAACCUCAACAAAAAAAGGCUUGACCCAAGCUUUCGGCUCGGGCCUUUUCGAGUUGAGUCGAGCCGAGGCAAGCUCAGUUUUUUUUUCUUUUCCCAAUGGCUGCAUCACGACAAACUCCACGGAGCCUGAAAGAGAUUCACA